rnacentral:rRNA from 1 species
UGCCUAGAACAUAGCAUUAAGGCACCCGAUCCCAUUAUAACUCCACAGUUAAGCGCACUCGGACUAGAGUAGUAUUGGGAUGGGUGACCGCCUGGGAAGUCCUAGUGUUUUACAUGC